rnacentral:lncRNA from 1 species
CCGUGAAUGAAGUCUCCUUGAGUGUCGAUGGUCUUGUGUGUCGUUAGCUUUAUAUUUUCUAUGGAUUUUGUUGAAACGAUUGGAACCGUCAAUUGGGCUUGUCUGGCAUUCUUCUUAAUCAGAACUAUAUCGCAUGGUUUAGCUUCAAGACUCACUUUCCCAAAACUUCUGAUAUCGGACAUGAUAUUCUGGAUAGAGGUGUUAGUCUUAUAUGAAAGAGUAUGAUGUUCCUUGCCUUCUACAUUAUCCUGCAAAAAAGAUUCUUUGUUAUAUACUUCCUCUUCUAUUUGCUUCAUUAUGAGAAACAUUUGAAGAUCUGUUGCGUGUUUCUUGAUGUUUAAAAGGUUAUUUUGGCAUUCUCCUAUUUCCUUUUCUCUCUUUUCUAGGGACGACAAUAACUUACAAUUUUUAGAGCUUUCUUUUUCUUCUAGCUCAUUGAGUUGUUUCAUUAAAUCAUCUUGUAGUUUGUCGAGAUGGCUGUUGAUCUUCAUUCUGGUCUUCUUUAUUUCUUUUUUCGAUUUCUUUUCUCUUUUCUUUCAAAUUCAAAAGAUUGUCUUGUUGAUGCUGACAAAUUUUCUUUAGAUUUUCUGCUAUUUCAACUACCGUUUCCUCUAUCUCACACAGAGCAUUGGAGGUUUUGACGCUAUGAAUGACGUCAUCUUAUUCG